GCUCAGAAUGAACGCUGGCAGCAUGGAUUAGGCAUGCAAGUCGAACGAGAAUCCGGGCUUCGGCCCGGAGGAGAGUGGCGCAAGGGUGAGUAACACGUGAGUAAUCUGCCCCGAAGUCUGGGAUAGCCCAUGGAAACGUGGAUUAAUACCGGAUGUGGCUGUAUGAACUGCGGUUCUAACAGUUAAAGAUUCAUCGCUUCGGGAUGAGCUCGCGGUCCAUCAGCUUGUUGGUGAGGUAACGGCUCACCAAGGCGACGACGGAUAGCUGGUCUGAGAGGAUGACCAGUCACACUGGGACUGAGACACUGCCCAGACUCCUACGGGAGGCUGCAGUCGAGAAUCUUCCGCAAUGGGCGCAAGCCUGACGGAGCGAUGCUGCGUGCCGGACGAAGGCCUUCGGGUCGUAAACGGCUGUCACUCGGGACGAAUUUUGACGGUACCGAGAGAGGAAGCCACGGCUAACUACGUGCCAGCAGCCGCGGUAAUACGUAGGUGGCGAGCGUUAUUCGGAAUUAUUGGGCCUAGAGGGUUCGUAGGGGGUAAUGUAAGUCCGGUGUGAAAUCUCGAGGCUCAACCUCGAAACUGCAUUGGAAACUGCAUUACUUGAGUGUCAGAGAGGAAAGCGGAAUUCCUGGUGUAGCGGUGGAAUGCGUAGAUCUCAGGAAGAACACCGACGGCGAAGGCAGCUUUCUGGCUGGCGACUGACCCUGAUGAACGAAAGCUAGGGUAGCGAACAGGAUUAGAUACCCUGGUAGUCCUAGCUGUAAACGUUGUGCACUGGAUGUGGGCGGAUUUGGUCCCGUCUGUGUCUGAGCGAAGGCGUUAAGUGCACCGCCUGGGGACUACGGCCGCAAGGCUAAAACUCAAAGGAAUUUGACGGGGGGCCCGCACAAGCGGUGGAGCAUGUGGCUCANUUCGAGGCAACGCGAAGAAC
rnacentral:rRNA from 1 species